AAAGCACUUUGGAAAGAGAGUUAAAAAGCACGUGAAAUUGUUGAAAGGGAAGCGCUCACGACCAGACUCGGGUGCGGCUGCUCAGCCGGUCUUCUGACCGGUGCAUCGGUUGUACCCGGGCCAGCAUCGGUUCGGGCGGUCGGAUAAAGGUUCCGGGAACGUAGCUCCUCUCGGGGAGUGUUAUAGCCCGGGGCGCAAUGCGGCCUGCCCGGACCGAGGAACGCGUUCGCUAGGAUGCUGGCGUAAUGGUCGUUAGCGGCCCGUCUUGAAACACGGACCAAGGAGUCUACCAUCUGUGCGAGUAUUAGGGUGUCAAACCCUUGUGCGUAAUGAAAGUGAACGGAGGUGGGAACCCUUUGGGUGCACCAUCGACCGAUCCAGAUGUCCUCGGACGGAUUUGAGUAAGAGCACCGCUGGUGGGACCCGAAAGAUGGUGAACUAUGCGCGGAUAGGGUGAAGCCAGAGGAAACUCUGGUGGAGGCUCGCAGCGGUUCUGACGUGCAAAUCGAUCGUCAAAUCUACGCAUAGGGGCGAAAGACUAAUCG
rnacentral:rRNA from 1 species